UUUUGUUUGUUUUUCAGAAGUGGGGGAGAGGAAAACGAGAGCCAAAAAAGUAAAUGCAAGAGAUGAGUUUGCGACACUAACUUGGAUGAGUUCUUGACUUGAUCCUCCCCAGCAACGGCGCCAGAAAUUCUUCUGCUACGGAAACAGACAACAACGCCAGAAAUUGGCCCAUUGACGGAGACUUGGCUUGAGGUGGUUUUUCCCUUGAAGAGGAAAGGG
rnacentral:lncRNA from 1 species